CAUGAACUCAAGCAUGACACCAUUUUGCACAACACUUAUACAGGGCCCACCCCUUAGGGGUGGUAGUGGGAGUUAUGGGCUCGUGACAGAGCCUAACGACAGAAAUCGACAGGCCCGAACAUGCAAAUCAAAUUAUUUUGGAAUAUAAAAUGCUUAUUAACGGAUUAUAUGCUCACUCAAUAUGACUUGGAGAGUGGAGAGAGUGAGAGAGUGGAGAGUGCCUCCCUUUUGGAUCUCCUAUUAAUGGCCGAUAACUUUAUUUAUCGACCAGCCUAGGCUAUCGAAAUAAAUGACACCACCAGGCAACCGGAAGUUAAAGUUACAAAAAAUGUCAGAUUUUGAAGAAGAAAUGGAGACUGAUGGAUGUCCUGGUUAAUAAUCAGGUGACGAAGAAAGGCACUCCCCCUCAAAGACAAAACACCAGGAGAAAAAGAAAUGGAAAGCCCGCCAUUAUGGCAAUUUAAUCGACCGGAAAUAAAGUUCUUAAGCAUCAUAAACAAGAUUUAAUGUGACAAAAAGGCAAAUCACAGUCGGAGGAAGGCGCUUCCCAAAGCCUCGCACAAAAUGUCAAAUGCCAUUUGGCCCAGAGGCGGCGACAAACAAGCCAAAAUGACACCUCCUCCCCAGGACUCUCGCUUCAGCCCUCCAUCCCAGGACAACCCUUACCUUUUCGCAAAAAAACAAAUAAAAAGAAAAGUAUCAACUAUGGGGGGGAUGGAAUGUCUUCGCGGUCUAGUUACAAUUUCAAGAGUUUUCUGUUUUUGGAAAAAAAGUGUCUCCCUAAUCUUCAUUGACUGGAUUGCUUAACAUAUAUGUCUUAUAUAUUUUGCAUAUAUAUUUAUGUGUGUGUGUGUGUGUGUGUGUGUGCCAGGUGUAGAUGUAUCUUGUGUGUGUUUGCCAAAUACUUAACACAUUUAUUUCUCA